rnacentral:rRNA from 1 species
GAUGAACGCUGGCGGCGUGCCUAAUACAUGCAAGUCGAGCGAAUGGAUUAAGAGCUUGCUCUUAUGAAGUUAGCGGCGGACGGGUGAGUAACACGUGAGUAACCUGCCCAUAAGACUGGGAUAACUCCGGGAAACCGGGGCUAAUACCGGAUAACAUUUUGAACCGCAUGGUUCGAACUUGAAAGGCGGCUUCGGUUGUCACUUAUGGAUGGACCCGCGUCGCAUUAGCUAGUUGGUGAGGUAACGGCUCACCAAGGCAACGAUGCGUAGCCGACCUGAGAGGGUGAUCGGCCACACUGGGACUGAGACACGGCCCAGACUCCUACGGGAGGCAGCAGUAGGGAAUCUUCCGCAAUGGACGAAAGUCUGACGGAGCAACGCCGCGUGAGUGAUGAAGGCUUUCGGGUCGUAAAACUCUGUUGUUAGGGAAGAACAAGUGCUAGUUGAAUAAGCUGGCACCUUGACGGUACCUAACCAGAAAGCCACGGCUAACUACGUGCCAGCCGCCGCAGUAA